ensembl:antisense D030055H07Rik RIKEN cDNA D030055H07 gene
GGCUCCUCGGGACAGUUCCCACACUGCAGUGAGGAGACAGCGCCACUGAGCUUCCGAUUUGCAUGGAGCUUCCUCAAAGGAUUCAUCUGGUGCCGAUAACCCCAGCCCACCAGAGCCAUAGGAUAAAUGGGUUGACCUAAGCUGACCCCAAAAGGCUCUCCAGACCCACAGUCAUGCCAAGUGCAGAGAAUGAGAAGGCUUUAAUGUGAAGGAGGCCUGAGCACCAUUGUGGCCAAAUCCUCAAGCCAUGGAAAGUAUCAGGACGUGACGACAAAUGCUGGGAACUAAACCCAGGGCUUCACACAUGCUAGAAUAGUAAGUAUCAUUGACAUUCCCAGACCUCUUGUUGUUGUUGUUGCUGCUGCUGCUGUUGCUGUUCUUGGCUUCCUCCUGGGACUUUUCAGGCCAGGCCCCUGCCAACUCAUAGGUUGGCUUAAGCUCUCAUCUCCCUGCCACGUGUUGGGAACCCAGGGCCUACUGAAGAAGUGAUUAGUGCACCUGAGCAGGAUAGGCAGCCUGAGCCAACCCUCCACCCUUCAGCUGCGACAGGGCCUUGCGGAUGGUGUUUAGCUCCUGGAUCGUGGCUCCUCGGGCUGCCAGCAGCUUGACUGUUCAGCAGGGUGAACUUCCAGCUGAGGAGAGGUGACCAACCUGACACCACCCACUAGGUACCCUCCAGGUUCCUCACUGUCUGCCAUGGUCCCGACUUCACCCUGGGACCAUAUGGUACUCAGGGCACCCCUGUCUGUUCCCACACCUGAGAUGAGCACCAGCAGCAGGUCGUCUGCAGUGAGCCCCUCUGCCAGCUGCUGGAUGGUCAGCGCAGCCCGGAGUGCAUCCCGAUCCGCACAGCCUCGUGUCCAUAGCUGCCUAGAGAGGGAGGAGAAGGAGUGAGGCCACGGACAGAACCCCACCAUCUAUCAUGACCACCCCUCUGAGGGCUCAGGACUGGCGGACUCCAUAACCUGAAAUGAAACGUGGAGAAGUCAUGAAGCCUGCAGCAAACCUGAUCUUACACCAGUCCUGAAAGCCCAGCCCUGAUGCCCAGCCACGUCCUCCUCUUCUGUAGGCCACACACCAGUCUUCUGGACACUCUGCCCCAAGUCCAAAGUUCCUGUUAAGUGGACCUUCCUCCUAGGUCACCUCCUUUGCCUGGGAGUUAAUCAUUCAUGAAGGAUGCCGUUCCUACCAGCAGGCCCCUGUGCCAUUCUAUUUCCACAUCCUGUACUUCCAAAGCCCUCACACCACGGCAGUGCCCCCUUUCUGGCAUUUAUGCCUUAGACGUUCCUUUACCACUUCAACUGCCAAAAAAAAAAAAAAAAAAAAAGGCUAUUGGUUGUCUAGCCAACUGACCCUGAGUCCAUUGACCUCUAGCCUGCUCUGUUAGCUCAUACAACCAGUCUGGCAAAGCUGGGUCCAUGUGGAAAGGCUGCAGGUUUACCAGUGCACACAGCCUAAGGAAGCUCAGGACUCAGGCUAGUUCAGCAAGUGGUCCAGGCACGAAUCAAGAGUAACUACAAAAUCUCACUCAAGGUGAAACCUUCAGCAAGUCCCCAGGUUAUAAGCAAAAGGACAUUUUCUAUGGGGCUCAAUCUACAGGACAAGACCAGACACCCUUGUCCCCAUACAGCUGGUCAUGAUCAGCCGUGCCAGGAACACUCCUUUCUGGCUCCAUGAUAGCAAAAAACAAGUCCUGAGUUACACCACUGAGUUACAGCAAAAACAGCCCACUGCUAGAGCAGGCAAAGGCCGGGUUCCAGUAAUGAAGCCCAAACAAUCAUUUUCUCCACUGGGCAGAGUGAAGGACAGAAAGGUCUUGGGGUAAAGGUCGGGAAGCUACAGCGUAACUAUACAGGAACAAUAAAAGACUCAGCUGCAAAAAGAUAUCUAAGUUUAGGGACAGGAGGGUACUGAAGACUGUGCCCGGGCUGUCCAUAUAACGAGCGAGCAUGCGCUCUACCACUGAGCUACAUUCAAGCCCCUAAAAAGGUAGAAAGACAACUGUAUCCGUAAGCAUGGGUGGAAGAGGGUGAAGUCUAGGGAUGGGGUUCUAGCUUUUUUUAAAGCGCGUAGUAGUACAUCUUUUCUCACACUGAGCUCAUUUGCAAGAUGUGGGACACAAUAAAGCCUAACUCUCAGGGAACUUGAAAGUGUAGUCCUGUGGGAGAGACCUUCCCUAGCAUGCAUAAAGUCAUCCAAUUCUCCAUAGUGCUGGGAGACUGAUGCUUGUAUUUUCCUGACACCUCGGGCUUUCUGAUUCUCUGUACAAGCUGACAGAGAAAACUCCAGGUAACAGUUUAUCCCGCUCCUAAACAACGUAGCGCCUGCCAGACCUCCGCCUUUUAGCCUUGUAGUUCCCAGCUAGCUUUCCCAGAAACUACUGUUUGUAAAAAGGAAUACACCGGGCACUGCCGCGGGACGCCUGCAAACAUGUUCAGCUUUCAUGUAUGGGAUUCCCCGGGAUUGAUUCACACAUCUUAGCAUCCAAAACAUAAAGCUCAGCCCUAGGUGAACUUUGUAUCUCUUUCCCAGAGGGGCAAAAGCCUAGAAGGUCCCUAUUAGAAUUCAAGGGAAAAAAAAAAGUUCAAGUCCAAAAUUGCCAGAUUAAGAACUGGGUGUUUGGUGAAAUUUGAAUUUUGGAUAAGUAAUUUUUAUUAUAACUAUGACCAG